rnacentral:rRNA from 1 species
GUGGGGAAUAUUGGACAAUGGGCGAAAGCCUGAUCCAGCCAUGCCGCGUGUGUGAAGAAGGUCUUCGGAUUGUAAAGCACUUUAAGUUGGGAGGAAGGGCAGUAAGUUAAUACCUUGCUGUUUUGACGUUACCGACAGAAUAAGCACCGGCUAACUUCGUGCCAGCAGCCGCGGUAAUACGAAGGGUGCAAGCGUUAAUCGGAAUUACUGGGCGUAAAGCGGGCGUAGGUGGUUUUGUAAGUUGGAGGUGAAAUCCCCGGGCUCAACCUGGGAACUGCCUCCAAAACUGCAUGACUAGAGUACGGUAGAGGGUAGUGGAAUUUCCUGUGUAGCGGUGAAAUGCGUAGAUAUAGGAAGGCACACCAGUGGCGAAGGCGACUACCUGGACUGAUACUGACACUGAGGUGCGAAAGCGUGGGGAGCAAACAGGAUUAGAUACCCGGGUAGUCC